rnacentral:lncRNA from 1 species
AUUUGCAUACUUUUUUUUCUUUGAUCAUGCAUUCAUCGGCAUUUGCAUAUGAUAACAAAUUUAGGCCAAAAGUUCGGUGAUAAUGAAUUUAAUCGGUUUAAGUGGAUUUUCGAGGUGGAUAUUAUUUGAUAAUUAUUCAGGUUUUUUUCCUAUAUUAGUUGUGGUGGGGAUCAUCUCUUUAUUUGAGAUUCAUGGUUAUCAUGGGGGAUUGAAAUGAUCAUCACUUAAUUAGGAGGUUUGCUUGGAUUCAAAGGAAAUGGCAAAGUUGGAAUAAAAGGAAG